rnacentral:rRNA from 1 species
AAUGAAUGCUGGCGGCGUGCCUAACACAUGCAAGUCGAGCGGCAGCGCGAGUAGUUUACUACUUGGCGGCGAGCGGCGGACGGCUGAGUAACGCGUGGGAACGUGCCCCAAAGUGAGGAACAACUGCCCGAAAGGGUAGCUAAUGCCGCAUAUGGUCUUCGGAUUAAAGUAUUUAUACGCUUUGGGAGCGGCCCGCGUCGGAUUAGGUAGUUGGUGAGGUAAAGGCUCACCAAGCCGACGAUCCGUAGCUGGUCUUAGAGGAUGAUCAGCCAGACUGGAACUGAGACACGGUCCAGACUCCUACGGGAGGCAGCAGUGAGGAAUCUUCCACAAUGGGCGAAAGCCUGAUGGAGCAACGCCGCGUGAAGGAUGAAGGCCUUAGGGUUGUAAACUUCUUUUAUAAGUGAAGAAUAUGACGGUAACUUAUGAAUAAGCACCGGCUAACUACGUGCCAGCAGCCGCCGUAA